rnacentral:rRNA from 1 species
GAAGUUUGGACCGUGUCUCAGUUCCAAUGUGGCCGAUCACCCUCUCAGGUCGGCUACUGAUCGUCACCUUGGUGGGCCGUUACCUCACCAACUAGCUAAUAGUACGCGGGCCGCUCUCUGUGCGAAUCAAAAGAUCCUUUCCUGUAACACCUCUGACAUGUUACAGCGUAUCCGGUAUUAUCUCCUAUUUCUAGGAGCUGUCCCCGUCACAAAGGUACGUCACCCACGCGUUACUCACCAGUCCGCCGCUCUAGGAUAGAAGCAAGCUUCCAUCUUACCGCUCGACUUGCAUGCUUAAGACGCGCCGCCAGCGUUCGUUCUGAGCCAAGAUCAAACUCU